AGGGAACAGAAAUUGAACCUGGACUGUAAGCAACAAAUUGAAGAAAUCACAGCCAAGAUUCAGAUGGAAAAGCUGAAGCAGAGGGAGCAGAGAUUCGCAUUUGAGCAGUUACUUGAUGAGUUGAUGGAGAAGCACAAGAAUCUCUGGGAACUUUAUGCCAGGGAGAAACCAAUGGCUGACAUGAAAGUGAAUAAGGAGCAGUUACUACUUGAAGGUGAGAAAGAAAAUGCACUAUUUGGGGCAUUUAGGUAAUUUAGAUUACCCUAUCUAAAAUCAUUCCAAUUAAUUUCUAAUAUACUUUGAAAGUACCUUCAGUUUUCAAGGCAGGUAAGAAUUCUUAAAUGUGAUGUGUCAUAAAGGAUUUAUAUGUUGUAAUAUUCCAUUAGAAAAAUUAAUCCAAGAGAAACUGGCUCAUGUUCAAGAUGAACUGGAUUUGCUGAGU